ACAGAAAUGAGAGCGUGGCAGAAACAGCUGAGAAUCCAGCACACGGCAACGUGCUCGUGGCGGCCAAAUGACUGGAGCUCCAGGGCCAGGCAGAGCACGUGGCAGCACAGAGCACGUGGCAGCACAGAUGACGUCGGCCGGGUUCCUGGAGCCUUUAUGCUGUCACAGUGCGUUGCCACGAGGACAGAGGGCCCCUGCCCAAGGACGGCUGGCAGCUGGGUCCAGGCACCUCCUGUGUGAGCUGCGCUGCCCGCAGCCGCUCGCCAUGCCCUGUGCCUCAGAGCAGCCCCGGCAGCAGACAAGCUCAGCCUCGUCCCGCUCUGGGUUGCGGUGAAGUGUUACCGUUUGGUGCGAUUGG